rnacentral:rRNA from 1 species
UACGAAGGGUGCAAGCGUUAAUCGGAAUUACUGGGCGUAAAGCGUGCGUAGGUGGUCUUUUAAGUCCGUUGUGAAAGCCCUGGGCUCAACCUGGGAACUGCAGUGGAUACUGAGAGGCUAGAGUGUGUCAGAGGAUGGUGGAAUUCCCGGUGUAGCGGUGAAAUGCGUAGAGAUCGGGAGGAACAUCAGUGGCGAAGGCGGCCAUCUGGGACAACACUGACGCUGAGGCACGAAAGCGUGGGGAGCAAACAGG